AGUGGCGAACGGGUGAGUAACACGUGGGGCAACCUGCCCAAAAGAGGGGGAUAACACUUGGAAACAGGUGCUAAUACCGCAUAACCAUAGUUACCGCAUGGUAACUAUGUAAAAGGUGGCUAUGCUACCGCUUUUGGAUGGGCCCGCGACGCAUUAGCUAGUUGGUGGGGUAAAGGCUUACCAAGGCAAUGAUGCGUAGCCGAACUGAGAGGUUGAUCGGCCACAUUGGGACUGAGACACGGCCCAAACUCCUACGGGAGGCAGCAG
rnacentral:rRNA from 1 species